UUCUCCAACAGGCCAGCGUUCAAGGCGAUCAUGUCGCUGCUCGUAGCUUAUACGUCCAGAGAUGUUCCGUACGCUCCUCACUCUGAUCACAUCCUUGAAGAGAUGUAUGCCAUGCUUUGCCAU